CCUACGGGAGGCAGCAGUGAGGAAUUUUGGUCAAUGGACGAGAGUCUGAACCAGCCAAGUAGCGUGAAGGAUGACUGCCCUAUGGGUUGUAAACUUCUUUUAUAUGGGAAUAAAAUGUUCCACGUGUGGGAUUUUGUAUGUACCAUAUGAAUAAGGAUCGGCUAACUCCGUGCCAGCAGCCGCGGUAAUACGGAGGAUCCGAGCGUUAUCCGGAUUUAUUGGGUUGAAAGGGAGCGUAGGUGGAUUGUUAAGUCAGUUGUGAAAGUUUGCGGCUCAACCGGAAAAUUGCAGUUGAAACUGGCAGUCUUGAGUACAGUAGAGGUGGGCGGAAUUCGUGGUGUAGCGGUGAAAUGCUUAGAUAUCACGAAGAACUCCGAUUGCGAAGGCAGUUCACUGGACUGCAACUGACACUGAGGCUCGAAAGUGUGGGUAUCAAACAGGAUUAGAUACCCUUGUAGUC
rnacentral:rRNA from 1 species